CUUCAAACUCAAGGAAAAGCCAUGGGUGUCUUGACUCUGGUUCAUAUCCUUGUCAGCUUUGCUGCCUGUGCCGAGGCCAUAAGGAGAGCCGACUUCCCCCCUGGUUUUACCUUUGGGACUGCUUCCUCAGCUUACCAGUACGAGGGUGCUGUCAAUGAGGGUCAGCGUGGACCUACGAUAUGGGAUACUCUCGCAAGUCGACCCGGGAGGGUGAUAGAUUUCAGCAAUGCAGACGUUGCCGUUGAUCACUACCAUCGUUACAAGGAAGAUGUUGACUUAAUGAAGGAUAUUGGUGUGGAUGCAUACCGGUUCUCUAUCUCAUGGGCACGCAUCUUCCCAAAUGGAACAGGCAAGCCUAAUGAAGAAGGGUUGAGUUACUAUAACAGCCUCAUAGAUGUUCUAUUAGAAAAAGGUAUACAACCAUAUGUAACACUAUUCCAUUGGGACCUUCCACAAGCACUGGAGGAUAAAUAUGGUGGCUGGUUAAACUCACAAAUCGUGGAGGAUUUUGUUCACUAUGCCUCUACUUGCUUCAAGGAGUUCGGAGAUAGAGUGAAGCACUGGAUCACCGUUAAUGAGCCCCAUAACUUUGCAAUUGACGGCUAUGAUUUUGGCAUCCAAGCACCUGGGAGGUGUUCCAUUAUAUCUCAUUUGUUCUGCAAGGAGGGUACAUCAUCAACUGAACCCUAUAUUGUGGCUCACAACAUACUCUUAGCUCAUGCUGGUGUUUUUCAUGCUUACAAACAACAUUUCAAGAAAGAACAAGGAGGCCUCAUAGGAAUUGCACUGGACUCCAAGUGGUAUGAACCAUUGUCGGAUGUCGAUGAAGACAGAGAAGCAGCAGCACGAGCUAUGGACUUUGAGCUUGGAUGGUUCUUGGAUCCGUUAAUGUUUGGCCGCUACCCAGCUUCUAUGCAGAAACUUGUAGGCGACAGACUGCCCCAGUUUUCAAACCAGGAAUCACAGUUAGUAUCUGGGUCACUAGAUUUUGUAGGCAUAAACCACUACACAACAUUAUAUGCUAGGAACGACAGGAUGCGGGUAAGGAAACUUGUGAUGAAUGAUGCUUCAACCGAUGCUGCUGUCAUCGCAACUGCUUACAGGCAUGGAAAGAAAAUAGGAGAAACGGCAGCGUCGAAUUGGCUGCACAUAGUUCCCUGGGGCAUGUUCAGCCUGAUGAAACAUGUUAAGGAGAAGUAUGGGAAUCCACCCGUGUUCAUUACAGAGAAUGGCAUGGACGACGCAAACAGCCGGUUCUCAAGGUUGGAAAAUGUCCUGCAGGACGAUAAGAGGAUACAGUACCACAACGACUACAUGUCCAACCUCCUGGAUGCUAUAAGGAAGGAAGGGUGCAAUAUCCUCGGCUACUUCGUGUGGUCGCUGCUGGACAACUGGGAGUGGAACUCGGGGUACACGGUGCGGUUCGGCCUCUACUACAUCGACUACAACAACAACCUGACGAGGAUACCCAAGGCGUCCGUCGAGUGGUUCACCCAGGUUCUAGCCCGGAACCAGAAGACAGCUGCCGUCAUGUAG
rnacentral:rRNA from 1 species